GGCUCUUUAGUGUAAGCAAGCACGGUAGAUUGCAAAUCUAAAAGAGAUAUAUUUUAUCAAGAGCUU
rnacentral:tRNA from 1 species